GUGCUAUCUAGGUGUGACAGAAGAAGUGCAAAGACUAAGCAGGAAGUGUCCCUUUUGUAAGUUCUUAUCAAGAUAUAUACUGCUUUUUUACUGCUUACAAAUAUACCUAAAACAGCCAAUAAGCCACUUGUACAAAAGUACUGUUGGUCACUCUUAUUGACAAGUUAUUAAUAAGAUCAGACAUCACAAGAAGUCAUCAGACACUUGGCACACCAGAAGAAAAUCUAUCUACUUAUCUAUUAUGAUAACGAUAAUGAGAGUACGUCAUCAUCGCCAGAGGACACGUGGCCUUUCAACCCUUUGGAGCAGUCAGAAGUCACAUCCUGCUUUUCUAGCCGUCUCAAAAGAGCCUGUGAAACGUCCUUUUACAGUCGCCUUUGUCACCUCUGACCUCGCUGAAAAGAGGUUGAAACAACAAAGACCAAGAAGAAACAGAAGGAUAAUGGAUGAGACCCUGGAUGUGACCUUGAUGAUGCGCAGACACUGCUGAUGUCAAGGCUGCCCCCUGCUCGACAAAGUGGACCAAAGAGGGGAGGGGGCACUGCUGUGACCGCCCCUCCACAGGAAAUGAAGUCCGAAGAUUUUGACCCACGAGCUGCAGAAGUGGGCCUCGACUGGUGAGAUCUGUUAGACCGGAGCCCUUGACAGCCCAAGACUCGUCGUGUUGUUGAGAUAAAACCGAAAACCAUCGCCCGCGUUCAUCAGGAGUGUCGGCACGGCAACGGAAAAGCACGUCCACAGACGGAAGCGGAUAUGGAAGCCGUCCUCACUGCGGAUCUCAAAGAUGAUGCCCUUCUUGGGUUUGCCGUCUUUGCUGCCGCCAUCCUCAAGACCAAUGGUAGAACCUUUGUUUUCUUUUGCCGCCUUUCCUGUUAGAUCUUCUGAAC